rnacentral:rRNA from 1 species
CCCCGGUAAACGGCGGCCGUAACUAUAACGGUCCUAAGGUAGCGAAAUUCCUUGUCGGGUAAGUUCCGACCUGCACGAAUGGCGUAAUGAUGGCCAGGCUGUCUCCACCCGAGACUCAGUGAAAUUGAACUCGCUGUGAAGAUGCAGUGUACCCGCGGCAAGACGGAAAGACCCCGUGAACCUUUACUAUAGCUUGACACUGAACAUUGAGCCUUGAUGUGUAGGAUAGGUGGGAGGCUUUGAAGUGUGGACGCCAGUCUGCAUGGAGCCGACCUUGAAAUACCACCCUUUAAUGUUUGAUGUUCUAACGUGGACCCGUAAUCCGGGUUGCGGACAGUGUCUGGUGGGUAGUUUGACUGGGGCGGUCUCCUCCUAAAGAGUAACGGAGGAGCACGAAGGUUGGCUAAUCCUGGUCGGACAUCAGGAGGUUAGUGCAAUGGCAUAAG